rnacentral:piRNA from 3 species
UCGUUGCGGAUGGCCAGCUGCAGGUGGCGC